rnacentral:misc_RNA from 1 species
UUUGGGGAUGCUAUGGCAG